AUGGCGCAGCUGAGAGCGUUCGCCAACGAGCAGCACCAGCAAGAAGCGCUGCACGGCCACGGCCACGGCGGCGACAGCGACAGCAACAAGAAGGCGCGCGCGGGCCUGUGCGGCGUGCUCCGGGAGCGCAAGGUGGUGGAGCUGGCGCGCGCCAAGCGCCGGCUGGUGGAGGUCCCCUACACGGCGACGCUGGCCAACGCGGCCAAUGCGCUCCUCGCCGGCCGCGUCUCCGCCGUCACCGUGGCCGCGCCUCCGGGCCACUGGAUCGGGGCCGGCGGCUCCUUGAUCGUCGAGUCCGACCCCGCCACCGGCGCCGCCCGCAAGCACUACAUCGGCAUGGUCAACAUGCUCGACAUCCUCACCCACAUCGCCGAGACCGGCCACGACGACGACGACGACGCCAGCGCCGUCAAGGACGGCGGUGGCUCGCCGCCGGUCGACCUCGACCGCCGCAUGUCCGUGCCGGUGUCCUCCGUCAUCGGCCACUCCUUGGAGGGCCUCACCCUGUGGACGCUCCACCCAAACACGAGCUUGCUGGAUUGCAUGGAGACGUUCAGCAAGGGCGUGCACCGCGCGCUGGUGCCGUUGGAGAGCUCGGCGGACAACGUGGUGGCGGUGGAGCUGGUGGAGUCGGCGCCGGUGUACAGGAUGCUCACCCAGAUGGACGUGGUGAGGUUCCUGCGCGCGCACGGCGCGGAGCUCGGCGGCGUCCUGUCGCGCACCGUCCGUGAGCUCGGCGCGGCGAGCGAGGCCGUGCUCGCGGUGGCGAGCCGCACCAAGGUCAUCGAGGCCAUCAGGACGAUGCGGGCGGCGUCGCUCACGGCCGUGCCCGUCGUCGACGCCCCCAUGGACGCCUACAUCCUGCAGGACGGGAGAGGGAAGAAGGUGGUGGAGACGUUCUCGGCGACGGACCUGCGCGACUGCCCGGUGGCGCAGCUGCGGUCGUGGCUGGGGGCCAGCGUGGCGGAGUUCAAGGACAAGGUGGCCGAGUACCGGCGCGACGGCAGCAGGCCCCUCGACGCGGCGGCCGGCGUCCAAUCCCCGGACGAAGGCGACACCAACACCGCCGUGGAGGCCGGCACCGGCAACGAAGAGGAGCCGCCGCGGCCGCGGGAGAUGGUGACAUGCUCCUUCCAGAGCACGCUCGGGGAGGUGAUCGAGAAAGCGGCGGCGAGCCACGUGCACCGGCUGUGGGUGGUCGACGGCGAGGGGGAGGAAGAGGGGUUGCUGCGCGGGGUGGUGUCGCUGACCGACGUGCUCCGGGUGGUCAGGGAGGCCGCCCUCGGCGAGGACCGGGAGCUCCACGACAUCGUGUCAUCCUAG
rnacentral:rRNA from 1 species